CUAACCCUAGUCUCUCUCUCUCUCUCUCUCUCUCUCUCUCUCUCUCUCGUAGUGGCGACAACACCAGUGUGUCUAGGUAACCCUCCUCCUUCUCUCAUGUCCUCUCAUUCUCUUCUCUUGCUCUCGCAGAUGCUCACAAUCUCUCUCUCUCGUAGAUUGGUGUCUACAGAUCUCUUCAUUUUCUCACUCUCUAGCAGUGGCGGUAACUCCCCAUUGGUGACAACAUCAGCGUCUCUAAAUCUCCCUCCGACAUCCAGGCAUAGUUUUCCUUUUUUCUAGGUCAUUUUUUCAAGCAUGAAGUGAACACUGGACUAAGCAUAGAAGCUGUAGGUGGUGGAUCUGUUGGCAAAUCUUUUAGAGAGAGAGAGAUAAGGAAGGAUUUUCUGAAUUGGAGACUGAAGUAUUGAAGCAAUUAUCAUCCAUGGGUCGCCUGGUUGUUUGUGCUAGAAAUGGUGCAGUUCAGAGCAUAACUAAUUUGUAUGUCUAUUGAUUCCUCUGUUUCUCUACUUGUCAUGUUUUAUAGUACUAGUCUAUUCUGUUGUGUUCAAACAUCAAGUUUUGUUUUCAACUCGAUUAUCCAAUUAACAUUUAUAGGGCAUUAUUAAGACACAGGCUUUCUAUAUGGAUUGAUGUCCCUCUAGACAUGAUAGCCAGGGAUGCUGUAGAAAAUAGGAGUCAACUUUCUGAAUCAGAAAUAUUUAGUUCUGGUUCUUAUUCUGAGGUCAUUUUUUCCCACUCAAACUUCUAAUUAGCUCACUUCUUUCUUUGUAAAAGAAUUUCCAUUAUUUAACCUGAUAGACAUCCAGAGUAUUUGCGAUUGUUGAGUGCUCCUGAUUAAUAGUGUUAACGUAAGUAAAUGUGUUGUAUGGAUACUCACUUAGCUUGCUGUUUUGUAGGAAGAGCUGAAAGGUGGAUAUGCUUCUACGGAUACGACUGUUUCUUUUCAUAAGGUGGCUUCCCAGUUAGGUUAUGAUGACUUGGAUACUGUAACCAAAGAAGACAUGGCUUUGGAGGUCGUCAGCUGUUGCACUUUCCUUGUAUACAUUCAGCAGUUAAUGCAGGUCGUCACAAAAUUCACCAAUUUGCCAUCAUUUUUACUUGUACGGCUUAGUUAAGUCAUGUUGUUCACAUUUGCAUAUACGAACUACUUCAUCAAUCAUUCACCAACACCCUCAAAUGGCUGAAAAACUAUAAAGAAAUAGAGGAUAUGUUUAACACCCUUGAAUGGAUGUUAUUGUGAUUGCUUAAGGCAUCGACGGACAUGAAGGUAUGAAGCUCAUUUGUGGGACAAGAAUUACUGGAAUGAAUCACAAAACAAGAAAGGAAGACAAGUCUAUCUUGGUGCCUAUGAUGAUGAAAAAAAGAUGCUGCUCAUGCUUAUGAUUUGGCAGCAUUGAAAUAUUGGGGUCCAUAAACCAUUCUCAACUUUCCGGAGGCAAUGGAACCGAAAUACAAAUUAUGACUUUGAGGCAAAAGUCCAAGAACUGAUUUGUGGGACAUGAAGCUGGCCAAAGAAAUGGAGCAAAUGGAGAUGUAGCCAAUGAUCAUUAUACCGCUACUUGGUGUGUGCGGUUCACCCAGUCUAUGAUUAUGAGAGGGCUAUCACUUGAUGGGUUUUUGUCGGAGGCAAGUGUUUUCUAUUUCUUUUCAUUUUUUUUUAGUCAUUCAUUUAUGCAAUUAGCAAUACCAUGAGUUUUACUUGCAUUGUAUAACUGUUGUGAUUAUAUCGAUUAGUUCACACAUGAAAUUCUACAGUUAAAAAUCCAAUAUGUAGAAAAAUUUACAAAUGUAAUGUUAUUUGCUGAUAUGGAGUUAUCUUUCUUUUUCUUUUUGGUUGAAUUUUGAUGGGCUACACACAAUGGGGGAUUGCCCUCUCCUUGACCAUGACCCUCCCCACUGUAACUAUCAUGUUUAAAAAAAAUUUAAUUUUUUGUCCCUUUAUCACAGGUUUAUUAAUGAUGUGACUGUGUUGUUAUUAAGGCUGUAGAAUGUGCGGAACUACUGGAGCUUGGUUCAAGAAUGACUAGAUUUGCACCUUUUCAAACUCAUCCACAUGAUUAAUAGUGACCUUUUAGAUUCUAUGGCUCACCAACCUUUUCAGAAACUAAUAUAGAUCUUUUCGGCAAUCAAAUGUCAAAGUGUGCAGGUACAAGCUUGAUGGGUUUAGUUGCUUCAGCUAUUGCCGCUGGUUUAGGUGCCUUAACACAUACAAUGGGCACUUUCGUCCCUGUGAUAGGAGUAAGUGGAUUUGCUACAGCUACAGCUACAGCUGCAACUGCAACUGCCAUAGGAACUAUUGUCGGUAGUUUUAGAUAAUCUCUUAAUAGUUGUCAAUAUGUUUAGAAAAUUAGAUAUGCAUAGUUUUGGAUGGUUAAAACUUUUUGUACAGUUUAGAAUUUAAGGAUACAGUUUUCAAAUGUUUGGAAUGUAUAAACAAUUGUUAAAUGUUUAUAAUU